CUGGCUCAGAACGAACGCUGGCGGCAGGCCUAACACAUGCAAGUCGAGCGCGCCCUUCGGGGUGAGCGGCGGACGGGUUAGUAACGCGUGGGAACGUACCCUUUGGUAGGGAAUAGCCACUGGAAACGGUGAGUAAUACCCUAUGAGCCCUUCGGGGGGAAAGAUUUAUCGGCCAAAGGGAUCGGCCCGCGUUAGAUUAGGGUAGUUGGUGGGGUAAUGGCCUACCAAGCCUACGAUCUAUAGCUGGUUUUAGAGGAUGAUCAGCAACACUGGGACUGAGACACGGCCCAGACUCCUACGGGAGGCAGCAGUGGGGAAUCUUGGACAAUGGGGGCAACCCUGAAUCCAGCCAUGCCGCGUGAGUGAAGAAGGCCUUAGGGUCGUAAAGCUCUUUCGCCUGUGAAGAUAAUGACGGUAGCAGGUAAAGAAACCCCGGCUAACUCCGUGCCAGCCGCCGC
rnacentral:rRNA from 1 species